GGCUUACAUUCUUACCUUAUUUGCUAUGAAGUAUAGACAACGUGUACUUGGUUUGAUACUUGUUUCACCUCUAUGCAAAGAACCAUCUUGGACUGAGUGGUUGUGCAACAAGGUCAUGUCAAAUUUACUCUAUUUUUGUGGCAUGUGCGGGGUGGCGA